rnacentral:rRNA from 1 species
UACGUAGGGUGCAAGCGUUGUCCGGAAUCAUUGGGCGUAAAGCGCGCGUAGGUGGCUUCGUAAGUCCGUUGUGAAAGUCAAAGGCUCAACCUUUGAAUGCCGAUGGAUACUGCGGAGCUAGAGUACGGAAGAGGCGAGUGGAAUUCCUGGUGUAGCGGUGGAAUGCGCAGAUAUCAGGAGGAACACCAAUAGCGAAGGCAGCUCGCUGGGACGUUACUGACACUAAGGCGCGAAAGCGUGGGGAGCGAACGAGGA